rnacentral:lncRNA from 1 species
CCUAUGUAUGCAUGAAUGAUGAGAAGAAUCUAGAAAAGGCAAAGAAUCUAGUGACAUUGAGAACGAAUGACAUUAUGACAUCAAUAGUAGAGUGGCAUCAAUGAGUUUUGAAUGCUAGUGUACAAGUGUGGCAUUAACAAGAACAACAAAUGCAAGAAUAUGAGACACUAGAUGUGUGGCAUGAAUAAGAACAUAGAAUGCAAGAACUUGAGAUAUUUGAUAUUAUGGCAUAUGUGAUUAUGACAUCCUCAUAGUUGAGGCAACCUUAU